AUUGAACGCUGGCGGCAUGCCUUACACAUGCAAGUCGAACGGCAGCACGGGAGCAAUCCUGGUGGCGAGUGGCGAACGGGUGAGUAAAGUAUCGGAACGUGCCCAGUCGUGGGGGAUAACGUAGCGAAAGUUACGCUAAUACCGCAUACGAUCUAUGGAUGAAAGCGGGGGAUCGCAAGACCUCGCGCGAUUGGAGCGGCCGAUAUCAGAUUAGGUAGUUGGUGGGGUAAAGGCUCACCAAGCCGACGAUCUGUAGCUGGUCUGAGAGGACGGCCAGCCACACUGGGAGUGGGACAAGGCCCAGACUCCUACGGGAGGCAGCAGUGGGGAAUUUUGGACAAUGGGCGCAAGCCUGAUCCAGCCAUGCCGCGUGCAGGAUGAAGGCCUUCGGGUUGUAAACUGCUUUUGUACGGAACGAAAAGGUUUGGCUUAAUACGUUGAACUCAUGACGGUACCGUAAGAAUAAGCACCGGCUAACUACGUGCCAGCCGCCGCAGUAA
rnacentral:rRNA from 1 species